rnacentral:lncRNA from 1 species
GAGAGAGACGGGCGGCCAGGACAGGGGCCGGCUGUUUGCAGGGGAGGCAUGUGUGUGGAGAACGCCUAGGAGCACGUGGGUGGCCACGAACCCUGACCGUGCAGGUCGAGAAACUCUUCCAGGAUAGUAUGUGGUGGAUCGUGUCUGCCUAAAAGGUCGCUGGGUUACAAACUGUCAAGUCAGAGGAACACUACACGCUGGCACCAGCUGCUCCUCUGUAGCCACCCGUAUGUCCCUCCUGAGCCGUGGCAGGGAGUGACACCUUUGCCAAUACCACCAUCCACAGGGUCAACAUGACCCCGGGCCCUGGUCUUAGUAACUAGAGGAAACACACCGACUUCAGGCAUUGCUCACAGCCAGAGCUGGUGUUAACUGAAGAAUGUUUUAAUUCACCUGCCGAGGAACUCACACAUUCCUUGCCAGCAGGCACAAUGGCUCUUGAUAGCCUGUGUGCAGGGAACAAAUGUGUUGGCCCCAUGCUCAGGCCAUGCGUACACAUAAGAGCUGUCGUCUGGGUCUUGGCUAAAAUAAACUGAAUCUUCCCGAAAACACAGGUUCCUAUUACGGAGUCCAUGAUAGGAAAGAUGUUCAGCUCUGCUGCUAUCAUGGGGAAGUAGAGUGGUUGAUCUGAAAUCUCCAGAUUCUAAUCAAGGAGAAGAAUGCUGUGCUGUGGCCACAGACCCCACCGUGGUCUCAAAGAAAACCUGGAUCAGAGCCCAUCUUCUGAUCAGUGCCACACCUUCACAUGGGUGUGCAGCAUUUUACUGGGUGACUGCCUUUCAGAACCUUCUGGAAUUUUCCAGAUCCUUCCAGAUUGCAAUAAAGAAAAAGAAUGCAAUGUGUGGUCAUUAAUCUCAGCAUGGUCCUGCAGAAGAACUGGCUCUGAGCUGAUCUCCUAAGGGGCCCCACGUCUUCACAUGGGUGUGUAGUAUUUUACUGGGCAACUGCCUUUCAGAACCUUCUGGAAUUUUCCAGAGCCUUCCAGGUUCUAAUCAAGGAAAAGAAGGCAAUGUGUGGUCAUUAACCUCACUGUGGUCCCUCAGAAGACCUGGCUCUGAGCUGUCUCCUGAGGGGCCCCACAUCUUCACAUGAGUGUGCAGCACUUUACUGGGCAACUGCCUUUCAGAACCUUCUGGAACUUUCCAGAGUCUUCCAGGUUCUAAUCAAGGAAAAUAAGGCAAUGUGUGGUCAUUAACCUCACUGUGGUCCCUCAGAAGACCUGGCUCUGAGCUGUCUCCUGAGGGGCCCCACAUCUUCACAUGAGUGUGCAGCACUUUACUGGGCAACUGCCUUUCAGAACCUUCUGGAACUUUCCAGAGUCUUCCAGAUUCUAAUCAAGAAAGAGAAUGCAAUGUGUGGUCAUUAACCUCACCAUGGUCUCACGAAAGACCUGGCUCUGAGCUGAUCUCCUAAAGGGCCCCAUGUUUUCACAUGGGCAUGCAGCAUUUUACCGGGUGAGUCCUUAACUUCGCAGGACACAUUAGAAAGACAAAGGAUGCUAGCAAGUGACAAUUAUAUUUAAAGAAAAGGGCAGGAGACACAGCAUGAAACAGAAUGAUGCAUUGAACAGAACUAGAUUUGGGCUCAGGAGAGCUUGGAGAGCAGCCAGCAUCGACGGGGCGCUUACUAUGGGCUAGGUGCUCAUGCAACAGGUCAGAAGUAUAGCUUCUUAGUCCUGUCUACUGUACAAGGAGGCAAGUGCUAUUAUUAUGCUCCCCACUUUACAGACGUUGAAACUCAUGAGGUUUAGAAAGCCCGAGUAAUGCGUGACCAGCCUGGCCAACACGGCGAAACCCCGUCUCUGCUAAAAAUACAAAACUUCACCGCGUAUGGUGGUGCAUGCCUGUAAUCCCAGCUACUGGGAAGGCUGAGGCAGGAGAAUCUCUUGAACCCAGUAGGCAGAGGUUGCACUGAGGCACUGAGUCGAGAUUGGGCCACUGCACUCCAGCCUGGGAGACAGAGUGAGACUCUGUCUCAAAAAAAAAACAAAACAAACAAAGAAAGCAAGCCCAAGGAACACAAGUCCACACAGCAGGACCUGACACCAACACCAACAGGUCGGAGCUGAGCUGUGCUCCUGGCUGCUACGUGGUUUGUGACUUCACCAACCUGAUGACCUGGUCUUUGGUUUCUUGAUACUUGAAGUCCUGGAUUUCUUACGGAAAAGACCUCCUUCAAAAGGCUAGAGGGUGCUUUCUCCUUCACGUCACAUGUAUGCUCUGAAGACUCAAAAUAUAGUAACAACUCCACAACUCAUUUCCUUCUACAUGAAAACUAUCACAGAGUAACAAUAAAUUAUGAAGAACUAUAGGAAUUUGUCAUUAAGUGAAGUAUCUUUUAAAACUCUGUUAUUAAAAAUGGCAUUUAAAUGAAUGAUUCAAUAAUAAACACCUAGCAUGCAUGGUGUAUGUUAUGAACAUAAGACUGCCACUGAGCUUGCAUUCUGAACUUGAACUUUUCGAGUGUUUUCUGCAUGCCAUUAAAUUUCUACAUGAUAUUUUUGGGCCUAAAAAGAUCAGUAGCCUUCAAAAGGUGACGAUUUAUUAUCACUAGGUAGAGGCCUUAUAAUUUUAUGCCUACAUCAAAAUCAAGAUUAUCCAGGAAGGCUUUUCACAAGGGGUAAAGAACAGGGUUUGAAAGAUGCAAACACGUUGGCAGAACACAUUCAUAGUUCCGUGGCUUGCCUGAUAGAUUGUGACUGUCCUGAAAUUAUAAUAAAGUGUCUGAACUAUUGAUACUUCUCCA